rfam:Erinaceus europaeus unplaced genomic scaffold scaffold00431, whole genome shotgun sequence
GUGCUUGCUUCAGCAGCACAUACAUUAAAAUUGGAAUGAUACAGGGAAGAUUAGCAUGACCCCUGCACAAGGAUGGCAACGCCAAUUCGUGAAGCUUUCCACAAAUUU